AUUGAACGCUGGCGGCAGGCUUAACACAUGCAAGUCGAGCGGAGAGAGGUAGCUUGCUACUGAUCUUAGCGGCGGACGGGUGAGUAAUGCCUAGGAAUCUGCCUAUUAGUGGGGGACAACAUUUCGAAAGGAAUGCUAAUACCGCAUACGUCCUACGGGAGAAAGCAGGGGAUCUUCGGACCUUGCGCUAAUAGAUGAGCCUAAGUCGGAUUAGCUAGUUGGUGGGGUAAAGGCCUACCAAGGCGACGAUCUGUAGCGGGUCUGAGAGGAUGAUCCGCCACACUGGGGCUGAGACACGGCCCAGACUCCUACGGGAGGCAGCAGUGGGGAAUAUUGGACAAUGGGCGGAAGCCUGAUCCAGCCAUGCCGCGUGUGUGAAGAAGGCCUUAUGGUUGUAAAGCACUUUAAGCGAGGAGGAGGCUACUUUAGUUAAUACCUAGAGAUAGUGGACGUUACUCGCAGAAUAAGCACCGGCUAACUCUGUGCCAGCCGCCGCCGUAAUAC
rnacentral:rRNA from 1 species